rnacentral:rRNA from 1 species
AUUGAACGCUGGCGGCAGGCCUAACACAUGCAAGUCGAACGAGUGGCGGACGGGUGAGUAAUGUCUGGGAAACUGCCUGAUGGAGGGGGAUAACUACUGGAAACGGUAGCUAAUACCGCAUACAAUCAGAUGUGUCCAGAUGGGAUUAGCUUGUGGGUGGGGUAACGGCGCACCAAGGCGACGAUACCUAGCUGGUCUGAGAGGAUGCGCAGCCACACUGGAACUGAGACACUGUCCAGACGCCUACGGGAGGCAGCAGUGGGGAAUAUUGCACAAGGGGCGCAAGCCUGAUGCAGCCAUGCCGCGUGUAUGAAGAAGGCCUUCGGGUUGUAAAGUACUUUCAGCGGGGAGGCGUUAACCGGAGAAGAAGCACCGGCUAACUCCGUGCCAGCAGCCGCGGUAAUUG